AACCUGACACUAGCCCUAGCAACCAACACUUUACUGGCCCUAUUACUAAUAAUAGUUACAUUUUGACUCUCACAACUUAAUAUUUAUAUAGAAAAAUCCAGCCCUUAUGAAUGUGGAUUUGAUCCACUAACCUCUGCCCGCCUCCCCUUCUCCAUAAAAUUCUUCCUAGUAGCCAUCACAUUUCUCCUGUUCGACUUAGACGUCGCUCUACUACUAGCCCUGCCAUUGAGCCCUUCAAACAAACAAGCUAACACUAAUAAUUAGUACAGCCCUUAUAUUAGUUAUCAUUUUAAUCCUAGGCUUAAUUUAUGAAUCAACCCAAAAAGGAUUAGAUUGAGUUGAA
rnacentral:lncRNA from 1 species